AUUCAAGGAAAAAGCAAAACCAGCAACCCCCAUAGAUACGUGUUUGUCUUUUCGGUCAUUUGGGGAACGAACAAACAGCUGUAAAGUAACAAACAAUAAACAGCAAGGAUAAGAAAACAAAAGCCGAAGAAAAGAAGAAAAACUGCCUCGGUGCAGAGGAAAACGAUUCAUCAGCAGAAGGUGACCUUCCAUCUUCUCCUCCAAAUAGAAACCAUCCAAACCCGAAACUCUGAUCGUCUUCUAGUCUAGAGGUCGCAAGCAAUCGUCGAUCAAGUCCCUUCAGGAAGCUGCAAUGACCAUCGAUCUUUGUCAACCAUCUCAGCUGCUUUAUGAGGUACUUCAACCCAGAAUUGAGAGUUGCCCAGCUUAAAACCAUUUUUAGCAAUUGUAUGAGCAACAAUAUUUGAAUCUCGAUCAACAUGUUGAAAGAAAAUAGAAAUAAAGUUAAAGGCCAUCGUUCUAAUAUCUUCAAUAAAAAUUCCAAUCACAGAUCUAUCCGUGACCCCUCUACGAGCCUUCGUUAUAGUCAUUCUAGAGUCCCCCUCAACCACCUCCUGUGAGAACCCCAUUUCCUUAACAAAGGUUAAGGAUUGAAGACAUGCCAAAGCCUCAACCGAGAAAGCAUCUGCAACGUUACUAUUCAGAAUCGACCCAUUUCCCAUAACCAACCCUAAAUUAUUUCUGAUGACGAAACCUGAGCAAGACUGAUGUAGAUUUUGUUUAAACGCUGCAUCAAAAUUAAUCUUUACAACUGCUCUUUCAGGGGGCAACCACUUGACAACAUUGAUCUCUACUUUUCAGGUCCACACUUCAGAAUGGCAUGCAUGGCUGAUUCUGGAAACAAGCCACACCUUGGACAUAAAGGAUAAAGCGCAAUUCACCUAUUGUAUAGGAUAUAUGCAGUAGGGAUCAUAUUAUGUAUUAGUCUUCAAAUAGUGAUUUUAAUUUUAGAAGGUAUGUCUAGGAGCCAUAAUUUUUUUGUAAACUGCACUAUAAUCUUAGGAGCUUUCCUCUGUAUUUUGAUGGUCGAUGGUCGAUGAGGGUCCUGUAGCCACUACGGAUAGAAUACUCGCCGGAGCUGUCACCCCUCAUACAAUCAUGUCUUCUUCAACCGAGUGGGAUAAAGGGGUGCACUUGAUGGCCUUAGCUUCCUCCAAAGUAAACACACUAGUAAUGACUUCCUCUUUCCAGCUUUUUGAGUUGUGAUCUAUAGAAACUGAAUUAUUAACCACCGUGUUACGAAAUUUUUCCUCGCCCAUGUAGGAAGCCAACUAUCUCUCCAUAUCGAGAUAUUUGUACUCGAACCCACUCUCCAACCCAUACCAUCUUCCAAAACCUUUCUAGCUGCAAAAAUACUACGCCAUACAUACGAUGGGUUUGUUCCCAAAUGAGCAUUCCAAAAGCUUGUAUGCGGGAAAUAUUUAGCUUUAAAAAUACUGACAGCUAAUGAAUCUGGCUUAACUAUAAAUCUUCAACCCUGCUUUGCCAAAAAGGGUAAUAUUUAAUUUACAGAGGUCAUGAAAACUCAUUCCCCCUUGAUCCUUAGGUUUACUUAAUUCAAACCAACUACACCAAUGCAUACUCUUACGAGUAGCACUUUUCUGCCACCAAAACCUAUUCAUAAUUCUUUCUAACUCAUGACAAAGAGUUUUGGGAAGUAAAAAGCAGGACAUAGAAUAGGUAGGAAAAGCUUAUAAUAUUGACUUAAUAUAGAACUCUUUCCCUCAUUGAGAUUAGGGGUGUGCAUUUGGUUAACCGACCCGAAACAGUUAUAACCGAAUUAACUGGCCUUUCAAAAUUUUUAACCGUUAACCGAACCGAAAUUUUUUCAAAAAAAAUUAACCGAACCGAAAUUUUUUCGGUUAAUUAGGUCGGUUAAUCAAAUUAACCGAAAAUUGUAUGAUUUUUAUUUUUGGUUAAAAAUUAACCGAAUUAACCGAAUUACUCAAAUUACCUGAAUUGAAUCACUACAUAAUUAAAAAUAUUACAUAAGUAUUUGAAUCACUACAUAAUUAAAAACAUUACGUAAUUCUUGAAAUUAACACAUAGUUGAAAUGUAAGUCUUUAAUAUUCUCCAUUUAUAUCCAUUUAUUCUCUCCAAAAAAUCUUCAUUUGCAUUAAAUCUAAAAAAAAAACAUGUGUAAUUGGGUAGAUACUUAAGAGUUACACCAUGUUUGGUUGGGUGUAAUGGAUUAGCCAUUACACCCCUAUUUCGUGAGACCCACUUAAUCCCAUGUUUGGUUGGAUGUAUUGCCCUAAUAUAGGCCUAUUACAUUACGGACGCAAUCCUCAUUUUCUCUGCUUCAACGCCGAUUUCUAAUCCCUUCCAAAAGCAAGAAUUAGCUAAUCGGUCUCUGUUUUACCUUUCCCAGCAGAAAUCGAUCUCUACCCCACCCUCUCCCUCUCCCUCUCCCUCUCCCUCCCAACAUCAACAGAAGUUGCCACCGAACCAAACCUCCACCCGCUCAGAUCUUUCGCAGACUUUCAUCUUGGCAUCUUGGCAUCUUUCGCCAACAUCAACAGAAGCGGCAAGUGCUUCAUAUAAUGAUAAAGCCAGACACACAGACUCCAAUUGAGGAGACUAUGAGGGCAAUGAAUUAUGUGAUUGAUAAGGGUGGGCAUUUUAUUGGGGGACAAGUGAGUGGUCUGCACAACAGAUUACGGAAGCAUGGGGAGUAGCUGAGAGGUUGGAGUCCGCUUGCUUCUGGAGUGCUUACUGGAAAAUACAACAAAGGAAAUAUACCACCUAACAGUCGGUUUGCUUUGGAAAAUUUCAAAAAUCUUGCUAACCGAUCACUAAUUGAUGAUAUGUUGAGGAAAGUUAAUGGACUGAAGCCAAUUGUUGAUGAACUUGGUAUACCAUUAGCUCAACUUGCAAUCGUAUGGUGUGCUGCAAAUCCUAACGUAUCUUCGGUUAUUACUGCUGCUACAAAGGAAUCUCAGAUUCAAGAGAACACACUACACCAAAACAGGUCUUUAGCGGCAGUCUUAGCGGCGUUUAAACAAAAAACGCCGCAAAAAAUAGAGUUUUAGCGGUGUCCAGAGACAAACGCCGCAAUAAAUGAUUAUUAGUGGCGCAAGAAAUAGGAACGCCGUAAUUGACCUGCAAUAGCGGCGUUUUUACCUCAACGCCACAAAACUUGUUUGCAAAACGGCUCCGUUUUUUGGUUACUUUAUGACUUUAGUGGCGCUUCCACAAAAACGCAGCAAACAAUUGGAAUAUAGCAGCGUUUUCUUAGAAACGCCUGUAAAGAUAACGAAUUUGAGGAAAAAAUCUGAGCAAAACAGUACCGUUUUGUUUUUUCAUUUUAUUUCUUUAGCAGCGCAUUGUAAAAAACGCCGGAAAAGAUUGAAUUAGCGGCGUUUUCAGGGAAACGCCGGUAAAUAUAACUAAUUUGAGGAAAAAAUUUGGACAAAACGCUACCGUUUUAUUGCUUCAUUUUAUUUCUUUAGUGGCGCAUUGUAAAAGACGCCGCAAAUAUUGGGAUAUAGUGGCGUUAUUGGAGAAACGCCGGUAAAGAUAUCUAAUUUGAGGAAAAAUUUUGAGCAAAACGGUACCGUUUUGUUGUUUCCUUUUUAUGCUUUAGUGGCGAAAUGUUAAAAAACGCCGGAAACGGUUCGGAUGUAGCGGCGCAUAUUAAGAAACGCCAGAACUAGACUAAGUAAAAUGGCUUCGUUUUAUUUCA